AAGUGAAUCUAUGUGUAUAUGUAUGUAUGUGUAUGUAUGUAUAUAUGUGUGUAUGUAUGUGUAUAUGUGUGUAUGUAUGUGUGUCAGGGAUGUGGAAAUCCUAUAGCCCGACGCCCGGGACAAGUAGUUUUGGGCGCCGGGCAGGUGAAUUGUUUAUAGAUUUAGCCCUGUAUCGGGCAGGGACAGACAGACUUCCCCCCCUUAUUUUUCUUUAAUGUCGGUGUGAGGCGCAGGAGCCGAUGGAAGUCUACACCUCACACCGGCGCUCAGAGUGUAUGGAGGGGGCGGCGGCCUCCAGCUGACUGCAGAGCCCCCUUAUCUCCCCUCCCGGAGGAUGGACGGAGCUCAGAAGACACAGCAGGGGGAGAGAGAGGAUGUAGACAGCUCCGUGCACAGCUCCAUCCCCCGCACACAGCUCUAUCCCUCCCCCUCCCCCUGUCUCCACAGGACCUAAUCCAACACGGGGAGGUUGCUUGUUUGCACGGGGAAAACACAGAGCAGGGGGGGAGGGGGAGGACGGAAAUCUGACCUCACACCGGCCGGGACUACAGCUCUGAUGUCCACUCAUGGCGGCUCAGAGGAUCAGAAUGCAUUGGCAUAGUGAGGAGACGUCUGGGCAUCAAGUUCUGCAGAGAGAAGAUUUAGCUGGAACAAAUCCUGGCGCCAAUCAGAGAGCAGCACUACUGAAAUAGAACUCCCAGGAGUGAGGGGCCGGUGCUGGACACUGUGUAGGGACGCGGGAAUGCAAAGUCAUACACAUGACUGUGACUGAUGCACUAUCUCCAGGACAUGGAGUAGCAUUUCCGGACCUACAGCAAGACGUUGGAUGAAGGCAUAGCCCCAGAAAUAACACUGGUCCUGUUCAUCAGUGAGGGGCCGGUGCUGGACACUGUGUAGGGACACGGGAAUGCAAAGUCAUGCACAUGACUGUGACUGAUGCACUAUUUCCAGGACAUGGAGUAGCAUUUCGGGACCUACAGCAAGACGUUGGAUGAAGGCACAGGCCUAGGAAUCAUGCACAUACACAGAAACAUUUGCCCAAAUUAUAGAGGUAACCUCCUUUAGUAUGCCCAGAGGAAGGGCCAUACAGUAGCCAUGGAUUCCCUACAGGUUUCCUCCCCUCUGGAGGUUUUUCCUGUCCUGAGUAUUAGUUACUGUACGCUCUUUGUGAGUGAUGGGAGGUUACAAAAAAUCCCCUACACAAACAUUUUAAUAAA